rnacentral:rRNA from 2 species
UGCAGUCGAGCGAACUGAUUAGAAGCUUGCUUCUAUGACGUUAGCGGCGGACGGGUGAGUAACACGUGGGCAACCUGCCUGUAAGACUGGGAUAACUUCGGGAAACCGAAGCUAAUACCGGAUAGGAUCUUCUCCUUCAUGGGAGAUGAUUGAAAGAUGGUUUCGGCUAUCACUUACAGAUGGGCCCGCGGUGCAUUAGCUAGUUGGUGAGGUAACGGCUCACCAAGGCAACGAUGCAUAGCCGACCUGAGAGGGUGAUCGGCCACACUGGGACUGAGACACGGCCCAGACUCCUACGGGAGGCAGCAGUAGGGAAUCUUCCGCAAUGGACGAAAGUCUGACGGAGCAACGCCGCGUGAGUGAUGAAGGCUUUCGGGUCGUAAAACUCUGUUGUUAGGGAAGAACAAGUACGAGAGUAACUGCUCGUACCUUGACGGUACCUAACCAGAAAGCCACGGCUAACUACGUGCCAGCAGCCGCGGUAAUACGUAGGUGGCAAGCGUUAUCCGGAAUUAUUGGGCGUAAAGCGCGCGCAGGCGGUUUCUUAAGUCUGAUGUGAAAGCCCACGGCUCAACCGUGGAGGGUCAUUGGAAACUGGGGAACUUGAGUGCAGAAGAGAAAAGCGGAAUUCCACGUGUAGCGGUGAAAUGCGUAGAGAUGUGGAGGAACACCAGUGGCGAAGGCGGCUUUUUGGUCUGUAACUGACGCUGAGGCGCGAAAGCGUGGGGAGCAA